rnacentral:rRNA from 1 species
UACGUAGGGUGCGAGCGUUAAUCGGAAUUCACUGGGCGUAAAGGCGUGCGCAGGCGGUUCGUGUUAAGACCGAUGUGAAAUCCCCGGGCUUAACCUGGGAACUGCAUUGGUGACUGGCAGGCUUGAGUGUGGCAGAGGGAGGUAGGAAUUCCACGUGUAGCAGUGAAAUGCGUAGAGAUGAUGGAGGAAUCCGAAUGGCGAAGGCAGGCCUCCUGGGCCAACACUGACGCUCAUGCACGAAAGCGUGGGGAGCAAACAGG